ensembl:lncRNA
GAAAAACCAAGCUAAGACACUCAUUUAUUAAGUCGAGUAGUAUUUAACUUCAAGGAUUAUCUUCUGUGCAGUUUUAUCUCUAAGAGAUGAGUUCAUGAGAGAAACAUGAAGUGUUUCGGUGUGUGGAGUGAGGAGAGGGAUGAUCUGAAGCUGAGAAACAGAAGGGAGAAGUUGAAGCAGUCCUGUGGGACUUCAUGUGACCGGUAAGAGCAGAGUUUUUCAGCUGCUGGUGACAAGUGUGGAAAGAGGCUGGAGAUUAGAUUCUUGUCCUUUUCCUCAUUCCCAACCAUCACAUGAACCCAGAAUAAUUCUAACACCCCACAAGUAGUGGCUUUGGCAGCAACACAGAACCACAAACUUGCUCAGACACUACUGUUGCCUGAAGAUCGCUGCCAGCAGAGGCAGUGCCAUUUUCUUGAGCACCUCGGAGCGGCAUCAGCUGGGUGGCGCAAAGCUGGAGUGAGCACAGUCGAUGAAGCGGGCAGACUGGUUUAUGGGCACUUCUCAGGCAUUCUUCUGGGGACUCUCAGAAUCCUCAAAAUCUACUGGGACAGCUUUAGGUUAGAAAUUUACCCCUCAGAGGUCCUCUUGACCUUUCCAAUCUUCCAGAGCCAUUAGCAAUUUGUUUCCACCGUGACACUGCUCUGGUGACCAGCCAUGAGUUCACAGGGCAAAACACAAGAGUCAUCUCAUAGCACCCACAUGUUGCCCUCACCUGAGAGCUUCCUUAUAAGACUUUGUGGCUUUAGAGGCAGUGAGAUCCCUGCAGUACCCAUGCAAGACCACCUGAAAGCCUGAGAGUUAUAACUCCACAGUGCAAUCUUUGACCCAGGUGAAAUGGAGCCAGAAAGUAAAUUAAUCCCUCUUCCUCCCUCUGGGCUUCCCUGAGAACUAGUCAUGUCAAUGGAAUCUUGGGAGAUUGGGUAAUCUAUCAUCUUUGAUACCAAGCUUUGGCAAUCUAAUAAACACACGCUUAUGCCAGCUCCUCUUCUUUGCUGCCUCACUCCCCUUUUCCCUCAUUUCAGCGACCUGGGGUUAAAAUCCCUAACAAUGAAGUGGUGCACAAGGGUUUGCAUCAGGUUCUGCUUUCUGGGGAACAAAGAAUGAGACAGGGUGGAGCUAUGGUUGGGCAAUCGAUUAGUGGGGUUAGAGCCAUUGUAAUCUGGGAUAUUAAAAUGCAAGGCUCUCUCAUUCUAUACUUCUCAGUCUAGCAAAGGCAGGUUAAUUAAAGUUGUAUCUUCUUCACUAGAUUAAAAUAUGAAGCCCCCAAUGCCCCCCAAUACAAAUCUCGUAUUUUCUGCAUACUGGAGCUUUCCACCCAGCUGUCUCUC